UACGAAGGGGGCUAGCGUUGUUCGGAAUUACUGGGCGUAAAGCGCACGUAGGCGGACAUUUAAGUCAGGGGUGAAAUCCCGGGGCUCAACCCCGGAACGGCCUUUGAUACUGGGUGUCUUGAGUUCGGAAGAGGUGAGUGGAAUUGCGAGUGUAGAGGUGAAAUUCGUAGAUAUUCGCAAGAACACCAGUGGCGAAGGCGGCUCACUGGCCCGAUACUGACGCUGAGGCACGAAAGCGUGGGGAGCAAACAGG
rnacentral:rRNA from 1 species